ensembl:lncRNA
AUGUCAAAAAUGAGUGACCAACAAGCAAAACUAGAAUUUGUGUGCACUCUGCCAAAGAGUACACUGGGCGACCUGGAGGUCGAGGAGGAAGAAAAUUUGAAAGUCCUGGAAGAGCAGAAAGUGGUGAAGGACACAAAAGAAAUGCAGAAAAAAGUGGACGAGCAGACAGAACAAUUAGCGGAGGCUGAGACAGAGACAAAAGACACGGCAACCCCAGAUUCCUCUUCAAAGUUUUGUGUCAACAAAGUUGUUCAGUUGAUGGUUUCAAACGCCACAGAAAAAGCUGAACUGAACCAAGUGAAAAAUGCACUUGAAGAAACGACCAAACUGGCAAAGAAAGAGUGUGAAGAGGCAACAAAAGCAGUGAAUGAAGUGCAGACGGCACUGUCAGAGGAGAAGACAAUGGUAGAGGAUGCAAAGAAACAAACUGAACAGGAAAAACAAGUGUUAGAAGAAGUGCAGUUUGUAUUCAAAGAUGAGAUCAACCAGGCUGAAAUAUCAGCUUUGGAAAAGACACUGAAGCUGCAGAAAAAGGUGCGCGUCAACUGGGUUAUUCAGUUGGUGGUUUUACUGGCCAAAGAAAAAGUCUCCUCCAAAUACAAGAUCUUCACAGAGCGCCUCACUCCUGACUGCAUCAGCGAUCGUCUGAUUGAGAAAAUCUGGCCUGAAGUUGAGGAGAAACACUUGAAUUUAUCCCACGACAGCAUUUUUAAUCUGGGAAAGGCCAUUGUCAAGGAUCUUUGCAAAACACACAACUGCAAAGAAAACCUUUUGAUUUUUAAUCUGAGGGAACAGCUUGACAAUAUUACCGUCUCAAUCUUCACCAAACACCUGUUGGCAUUACCAGCAAGAGUGCUCAGUGUCUCUAAAGACAGGCAAGAGUACAAGGAAGUUGUAAAGAAUGUGACCAAAGAUCUGGUAAUGCACGCCAUGAGCGAAGGAAAUGAGACGAUGACGAUGAAUCCAGUAGCAUCCGAGUUUAUUGUAGAGAGGCUUUUCCAGAAGAUCUGGAACAAAAUUUUGUCAAAAAAGUACAAAAUGUCCUUGGAGAACAUUGAACAACUCGCCCUGAGAGUAUACAAUGAACUCCAUGACAGGUGGGACUCUCCAAUACUCUUAAUGUGGUCAAGAAACCCAGUAAUGGAUGAAGCAAUCGUCAGCAGCUUCAAAAAACAUGCAAAACUGAGGAGCCAAAAUGUCAUCUUUAGGGCUUUCUCAUGUGCACGCUAA